CUUUCACCCACCAGAGGCCACUCUGGAGCCAGACCAGCCAGCAGCCAGCUGGGUUCAUCACAGCACUCUGCCUGCAGAGCCAGGCUACAGAAUAAUGUCCACAUUUUGCUCCAGAUCGUCCCCUCCUCCCAGUGGGAAGGAAAUGGCUGUAGUGGAGCUGGCUCAGGGGUUGGUGACUUUUGAGGAGGUGGCUGUGUAUUUCACCAGGGAAGAGGGGGCUCUGCUGGACCCUGCUCAGAG